rnacentral:sRNA from 1 species
GCUGUGGAGUCGGGAAGAGCUCAUGGAGCUCGCGAAUGUAAUACGGAGGUCUCUGAGGAAGGAGUGCGGAGGCCGAGAAGGAGCCGGCAUUUGAUGAGGGAACCGGGAAAGGGAGUUUCCAGGUGUCUAGGAAAAUGCCAGAAGAACUCACCAGGUGCUGGGAAGCAUCCCUUUUCUGGAAAGUCCUUUUACUUGGAUCUACCUGCUGGCAAGAAUCUCCAGUUUUUGACAGGGGCCAUUCAGCAACUGGGUGGGGUAAUUGAGGGUUUUCUGAGCAAAGAAGUAAGUUACAUCGUGUCCAGCCGCAGAGAAGUAAAGGCAGAGAGCAGUGGGACAAGACACAGAGGCUGCCCUAGCCCCAGUGAGGUCAGAGUGGAAACAUCGGCCAUGGUUGAUCCAAAAGGCAGCCACCCCAGGCCUUCACAGAAACCCAUUGACUCGGUGCCUCUAAGCAGAGGGAAGGAGCUGCUGCAGAAGGCCAUCAGAAACCAGAAAUGAUGAUGCACGUGCAACAGCUGUCUCUUCCCUCUUUAUGUGUGAAAAAACAAGAGCCAAA